GACGAACGCUGGCGGCGUGCUUAACACAUGCAAGUCGUACGGUAAGGCCCUUUCGGGGGUACACGAGUGGCGAACGGGUGAGUAACACGUGAGUAACCUGCCCACAACUUUGGGAUAACGCUAGGAAACUGGUGCUAAUACUGGAUAUGUGCUCCUGCUGCAUGGUGGGGGUUGGAAAGCUCCGGCGGUUGUGGAUGGACUCGCGGCCUAUCAGCUUGUUGGUGGGGUAGUGGCCUACCAAGGCGGCGACGGGUAGCCGGCCUGAGGGGGUGACCGGCCACAUUGGGACUGAGAUACGGCCCAGACUCCUACGGGAGGCAGCAGUGGGGAAUAUUGAACAAUGGGCGCAAGCCUGAUGCAGCAACGCCGCGUGCGGGAUGACGGCCUUCGGGUUGUAAACCGCUUUCAGCAGGGACGAAGCUUUUUGUGACGGUACCUGCAGAAGAAGCACCGGCUAACUACGUG
rnacentral:rRNA from 1 species